rnacentral:rRNA from 1 species
GGGGUCAGUAGGUUGGUCGUGCCACCGGUACGUACUGGUCUCACUGAUUCCUCCUUCCUGAAGAACCGUAAUGCCAUUAAUUUGGUGUUGCGGGGAAACAGGACUGUUACUUUGAAAAAACUAGAGUGUUUAAAGCAAGCUAACGCUUGAAUACAUUAGCAUGGAAUAAUGAAAUAGGACGAUCGAUCCUAUUUUGUUGGUUUCUAGGAUUGACGUA